rnacentral:rRNA from 1 species
AGAGUUUGAUCCUGGCUCAGAUUGAACGCUGGCGGCAUGCCUAGCACAUGCAAGUCGAACGGUAACGCAAGAAGCUUGCUUCUUGGCGACGAGUGGCGGACGGGUGAGUAAUGCUUAGGAAUCUGCCCAGUAGUGGGGGACAACUCNAGGAAACUCGAGCUAAUACCGCAUACGCCCUAUGGGGGAAAGUGGAGGAUCUUCGGACUUCACGCUAUUGGAUGAGCCUAAGUCGGAUUAGCUUGUUGGUGGGGUAAAGGCUCACCAAGGCGACGAUCCGUAGCUGGUCUGAGAGGACGAUCAGCCACACUGGGACUGAGACACGGCCCAGACUCCUACGGGAGGCAGCAGUGGGGAAUAUUGGACAAUGGGGGCAACCCUGAUCCAGCAAUGCCGCGUGUGUGAAGAA